rnacentral:rRNA from 1 species
CCGCGGUCAUACGAUUAACCCAAACUAAUAAACACCCGGCGUAAAGCGUGAUUAGAAUAUAANNAAAAAAAANNNNNUAAAAUCAAAUAACAACUAAGCUGUAAAAAGUAAUAGUUGCAAACAAAAAUAAACAACGAAAGUGAUUUUAUAAUUUUCGAACUCACGAUAGCUAAGACCCAAACUGGGAUUAGAUACCCCACUAUGCUUAGCCUUAAACCUUAAUAAUUUCAUNAACAAAAUUAUUCGCCAGAGAACUACAAGCCAGAGCUUAAAACUCAAAGGACUUGGCGGUGCUUUAUACCCGCCUAGAGGAGCCUGUUCUAUAAUCGAUAAACCCCGAUAAACCUUACCACUCUUUGCCAACNUCAGCCUAUAUACCGCCAUCUUCAGCAAACCCUAAAAAGGAGCAAAAGUAAGCUCAAUCAUCACNCAUAAAAACGUUAGGUCAAGGUGUAGCCUAUAGAGUGGAAAGCAAUGGGCUACAUUUNUCUAUNNNNUUUAGAACACNNACGAAAGCCCCUAUGAAACUCUAGAGGCCAAAGGAGGAUUUA